UGUGAUGCGAUGAAUAGGAAGAGUAAAAUGACCUUGCUUGCAAAAGAGAGGAAACGGUAGCUGAAAAGUUUCCGCAAAUGCAAUCAUUUGAAGGUAGCCUAAGAGCAACUUUUGUGAACGAUAGUAGCAAAAUGUCGGUUAAACACCGUUAUCGAUUCGAGAGCUAAGACGAAAUGUCAGUUGGUUUUAAAAACCAUGUCAUUCGACUUAGAAUAAAGGUGGUACCGCGGAAAAUAAAUUAAAAACUCCUUCGUCCUUUUU
rnacentral:ncRNA from 1 species